UUAUCUCAAAUUUGUAUAGAGUUGGAAAGUUUGCCAACGUUUGCCGCUAUGGGCGCUGUUCUAACUGCGUAACAGUUUGAGAUA
rnacentral:pre_miRNA from 1 species